GCGGCGGACGGGUGAGUAACGCGUGGGAACGUGCCCUUCUCUACGGAAUAGCCCCGGGAAACUGGGAGUAAUACCGUAUACGCCCUUUGGGGGAAAGAUUUAUCGGAGAAGGAUCGGCCCGCGUUGGAUUAGGUAGUUGGUGGGGUAAUGGCCCACCAAGCCGACGAUCCAUAGCUGGUUUGAGAGGAUGAUCAGCCACACUGGGACUGAGACACGGCCCAGACUCCUACGGGAGGCAGCAGUGGGGAAUCUUAGACAAUGGGGGCAACCCUGAUCUAGCCAUGCCGCGUGAGUGAUGAAGGCCUUAGGGUUGUAAAGCUCUUUCAGCUGGGAAGAUAAUGACGGUACCAGCAGAAGAAGCCCCGGCUAACUCCGUGCCAGCAGCCGCGGUAAUACGGAGGGGGCUAGCGUUGUUCGGAAUUACUGGGCGUAAAGCGCACGUAGGCGGACUGGAAAGUCAGAGGUGAAAUCCCAGGGCUCAACCUUGGAACUGCCUUUGAAACUAUCAGUCUGGAGUUCGAGAGAGGUGAGUGGAAUUCCGAGUGUAGAGGUGAAAUUCGUAGAUAUUCGGAGGAACACCAGUGGCGAAGGCGGCUCA
rnacentral:rRNA from 1 species